rnacentral:rRNA from 1 species
UACGUAGGGUGCAAGCGUUGUCCGGAAUUAUUGGGCGUAAAGAGCUCGUAGGCGGUUCGUCGCGUCGGCUGUGAAAACCCGGAGCUCAACUCCGGGCCUGCAGUCGAUACGGGCGGACUUGAGUUCGGCAGGGGAGACUGGAAUUCCUGGUGUAGCGGUGAAAUGCGCAGAUAUCAGGAGGAACACCGGUGGCGAAGGCGGGUCUCUGGGCCGAAACUGACGCUGAGGAG